AUUGAACGCUGGCGGCAGGCCUAACACAUGCAAGUCGAGCGGAGCGGCGGACGGGUGAGUAAUGCCUAUGAAUCUGCCUGGUAGUGGGGGAUACCGUCCGGACACGGGCGCUAAUACCGCAUACUAUCAGAUGAGCCUAGGUGGGCUUAGCAAGUUGGUGGGGUAAAGGCCUACCAAGGCGACGAUCCGCAACUGGUCUGAGAGGAAGAUCAGUCACACUGGAACUGAGACACGGUCCAGAUUCCAACGGGAGGCAGCAGGGGGGAAGAUUGGGCAAUGGGCGAAAGCCUGAUCCAGCCAUGCCGCGUGUGUGAAGAAGGUCUUCGGAUUGUAAAGCAAUUUAAGUUGGGAGGCGUUACCAACAGAAUAAGCACCGGCUAACUUCGUGCCAGCAGCCGCGGUAAUUC
rnacentral:rRNA from 1 species